AUAGGUCAUCAUAGCUCAGUGACAUAGGGAGAGUGAAUAUGACGACUUAAGGGAGUUGCAAGAGGAGGUAAAAUAAGAUGAGAUCCGGUGAAGAACCAACGCUAUCGACAUAGGUCAUAGCUCAGUGACAUAGG